rnacentral:rRNA from 1 species
CCUACGGGCGGCAGCAGUGGGGAAUAUUGGACAAUGGGGGGAACCCUGAUCCAGCCAUGCCGCGUGUGUGAAGAAGGCCAUCGGGUUGUAAAGCACUUUCAGUGAGGAAGAACGCCUGGUGGUUAAUACCCAUCAGGAAAGACAUCACUCACAGAAGAAGCACCGGCUAACUCCGUGCCAGCAGCCGCGGUAAUACGGAGGGUGCGAGCGUUAAUCGGAAUUACUGGGCGUAAAGCGCGCGUAGGUGGCUUGAUAAGCCGGUUGUGAAAGCCCCGGGCUCAACCUGGGAACGGCAUCCGGAACUGUCAAGCUAGAGUGCAGGAGAGGAAGGUAGAAUUCCCGGUGUAGCGGUGAAAUGCGUAGAGAUCGGGAGGAAUACCAGUGGCGAAGGCGGCCUUCUGGACUGACACUGACACUGAGGUGCGAAAGCGUGGGUAGCAAACAGGAUUAGAUACCCUAGUAGUC